GGACUCGGGCAAUCGUGUUCAUGGAUGCGAUUAUUAACGUUACUGUAAUAUGAAGCAGAGCAGGACCGAGUGUUGUGGGAGCUGAACGAGGUCGCUGGAGCGAUUGCGAGCAGCGGAACUUUUAUUAUGACACAGUCGCCGGCGUUGCUUCCGCUUUUCCGGUUAUGAGAAUGAGGUGCAAAGGCAUGCGGAGAGUGUUCUGUGAGCACAAAGGGUCAACAGGCUUUAUUGUAAAUGCUGAUGGGGGAUUUAGGAAAUGCAGAGUAACCAUGGAAACGCCAACAGCAGGAUAUCAGAGGCCGAAUCAUAACAGUGCAGCUAGAGCUCUCGCAGCCAGCAGAGUUAAGAGUCAUGUGUGUGUGCGAGAGAGAGAGAGACUGGGAUUCUGGGUAAAGGAACAACAAAAGAAGGAACAGGAGUCUUACUGAGAUAACAGAGUUCUUAGCAUCACUUAUGCACUCUAACAUUCCUACGCUCAUGUCCACACCCUUAGAAAAAAGAACUGCAUUUUUUCGACCGCAGAAAACGUAAAUUGAACACAGUAGUACGGAACGCUGCUGCAUUCCCAUUAUAACACAGUUAAACAACUGCAGUAAUGCAUCCAAAUUAACACACAAGUGUUGCAAUACUGAAAACCACAGUUCUACUGGGUGGAUCUAAUACUUUUUUGGCUGUUUAUUGAUAGUGUCAGCGAACAGGAAAUGACAAGAGAGAUUGGGAUCAAGACAUGUCAGCAGUUGUCAUCACAAUCCCCCUUUAGAGACCUUUAGUGAAGUGUCUUGGACAAGGGUACAAAAGUGAUGGUUAUCAGUGACACUCGAGUUUAUGGUCUAAUUAUAACUUUUCAAAUACAUUUUAAAUAGCUUAACAAGAUCUGCAACGCAUUAAGCUGUAUGCGAGAUGACGGUGUGAAAGCAGCUCUUCAUCUCCCUCAUCUGCUGCUCUCAGUGGAAACAAUUCCUUUUAUCUAUUUUCACCAUCAAUCAUCAUAAGUUAGAAAUGAGGCAAAACAGACAGGCAAGACAAGUUUAUUUAUAUGUUAUUUCACACAUAAUGGUAAUUCAAAGUGCUUUACAAAAAAAUAAGAGAAAUAAGUCAAGUUUAAAAUCAUUUAAGGCUGUUGAGUAAGCAAUAGCACUUUCAGAUCAUACUUCAAUAAUAAUUGCAGUAUCCACAUGGAUUCAUUUUUCUAGGUCUUGUUUGAAUAUAAAGCACCAAAUCUCUAUAUUUUUGCUAUUUUGUUUACUAUAUACUGUAUACUGUUUAUUGCUUUAUAUAAGUGAACUGGCAUUAGAAACAGUGAUCUAACCUUUGUAAAAGUCUUCUUAUAUUAUGGUCUCAUAUUAGAUUAAAUCGUGUACUUGAUUUUUUUCAAGAAUGAACAUUUAUCUUUGAUAUAUGGUGACUAAUGAGUCAGCUUCAUGUGGAUCAGGACGGCAUUCAAUCUUUUUUACAUUUAAGUUAGUAGUAAUUAAGGACCCGUUUUGCAAGAAUUAAAUUUGUCAGCAGAAUUAAUUAUGACCAAAUUAUGGGAAACCUGUUAUGUGAUUUGGCUAAAUGAAACUUGAAUCUGAAACAUUAGCUUUUUCCUCAGUUUUAGAUCUGCAUAGUUUUAUGGUUUUCCUCUGAAAUUAAACAAACUUGUUCAUAAAUUUGUCCCUUUUUUAUUUCUAUUAAAAAUUUAAUUAUUCAGCUGGGUCAGCAUGUGAAGUGACAAUGAAUAAACUGAGAUUUGAUCGUAGAUAACAAAAUAACAAAAUAUAAAGGUUCUGGAUAAGUCUUAAUGAUAAAUGUCACAGAAAAUGAUUCAUUUGUAUAUACACAGAGUACAAUGCCUUAAAAAGAUGAUAACCAUGAAAUAAAAAAUAUUUGAUCAUUAAAGGUUGACUCAUAUAAGUCAUAAAUCAUCACAGCGGGUCUGAGAGAAUGUAUCAUUUAAUGUGUGUUGUUGUAAGAAACAUUAUUCAGUACUGUAGAUAAUACUUAUGUGAAACACAAAAGGCAACAUUAGCAGUGACUUGUGAAUAAUUUGAACAUUUUUUAAGUAAAUUUUGCAGUAAUUUUAUAUCCACACAGACUGGUUUUUGUGUUUUAUAAGGACUUUGAUGGCCAAACCAGUAGGAUGGUGGUUUAAGUGGAUCAAACUUUCCCAAUGCUCAUGAAAAAUAAUAAUGAACCACAAACUAAGCAUUUGUUCAUAAGGUAGGGGGAAAAUCAAAAUAUCUUUCAUUUAUUUGUGUUACAAC